CUCUCUCUCUCUCUCUCCUUCUCCAAAAACCAGAUCUCCUUUCAAAAAAAUAAAAAACCAGAUCUCUGACCCCACCGCGACUCUCACAAUCCCCUCCGUUUCCAACCAUCACUGAUGGCCUCUCCUUCUAUCUUUUUCAUGUUAUCUGCACUUUCCUUCACACUUGGAUCUGAUCAAUUUUAUAACUGUUAUAUUUUCUCUGUCUUAUUGCGAUUUCUUUGAUUUGGCUGUAAAUUUGAAAACCCGCUGUAUCUUUUGUUUGUGUGGUAGAAAUUUCUUUUCCCUUUUGUGAGUUUUGAUUAUGAAUUGAGUUUUUGGGUUUUGAUCUUGAUUUUUAUUAUUGAUGCUUCCAGGUCGUAUUGUUUGGCUGUUAAAACCCGCUGCCAACCUCAUCUCUCAGUUUGCUUCAACAAGGAAUGAAACAAAUAAUAGUAAAUUCAGAAACCCUGAAGCUAAAGCAUUAAAGAAGGUGGAGGAUAAGACCAAAGUUGCCAGGGUGCUUGCCAGCAAAGGGUGAAGAGUCUGGUGAAUGCGAAAGAUAUUCCAAAUAUUAUCGUUCGCCUUGUCCGGUUGAAUGGCAUAGCCUUGGCAAAGUUUGCACCAGAAUCACAGGGCACACUGAAUUUUAAGUUUGGAACUUCUUCUGGAGCUGUAUCUUAGCCUUGAGAACUUUCUAGUUAGAAACUUGUAUGUGAUAACAGUACUAUUGGGUUGGAGUGGGUUAUGUAAUGCUGUACUGGGUUUGAUUUAUAGUACUCGUAGCGAAAUUACUGUAAAUCAUUGAUACAAUGAAUGAUCAUUAAUUUUAUUUU